UACGUAGGGUGCAAGCAUUGUCCGGAUUUAUUGGGCGUAAAGAGCUCGUAGGCGGCUUGUCACGUCGGGUGUGAAAACUCGGGGCUCAACCCCGAGCCUGCACUCGAUACGGGCUAGCUAGAGUGUUGCAGGGGGAGACUGGAAUCCUGGUGUAGCGGUGAAAUGCGCAGAUAUCAGGAGGAACACCGGUGGCGAAGGCGGGUCUCUGGGCCGAUACUGACGCUGAGGUGCGAAAGCGUGGGGAGCAAACAGG
rnacentral:rRNA from 1 species